rnacentral:misc_RNA from 1 species
GUAGGUGAACCUGCGGAAGGAUCAUUACCAAAUCCAAAACCCCUUAUCAACACCAAUUGUGAACCAUGAAUGGUCUGUUCUCCUGCCCCACCUGCCGUCUCCGUGCUUCGGAAGAAGCAUGUUACAGAUGGAGGAGGGCGGGGCGGGAGAACGCAUUUUUUCAACCCCUUUCAACCACAUACCCCUUGCAUAUGCUGAAAGCAAAAAAAAACGAAACAUGAGACAACUUUUAACGGUGGAUCUCUUGGCUCGU